AAUAGUUAUGGUGAUGGGGCUCACCAUAACCGCUGUAAGCUGAUGGCUCCUAUUUUGAC
rnacentral:ncRNA from 2 species